rnacentral:sRNA from 1 species
AAAAAGAAGGAAAAAAA